rnacentral:rRNA from 1 species
UACGGGGGGGGCAAGCGUUGUUCGGAAUUACUGGGCGUAAAGGGCUCGUAGGCGGCCAACUAAGUCAGACGUGAAAUCCCUCGGCUUAACCGGGGAACUGCGUCUGAUACUGGAUGGCUAGAGAUUGGGAGAGGGAUGCGGAAUUCCAGGUGUAGCGGUGAAAUGCGUAGAUAUCUGGAGGAACACCGGUGGCGAAGGCGGCAUCCUGGACCAACACUGACGCUGAGGUGCGAAAGCGUGGGGAGCAAACAGG